rnacentral:rRNA from 1 species
GUUUGAUCCUGGCUCAGGAUGAACGCUGGCGGCGUGCCUAAUACAUGCAAGUCGAACGCUGGAGAUCUAGCUUGCUAGAUCGAAGGAGUGGCGAACGGGUGAGUAAUACAUAAGCAACCUACCCACGAAGACUGGGAUAAUCUCUGGAAACGGGGACUAAUACCGGAUAGGUAAUCGGAAGGCAUCUUCUGAUUAUUAAAGGUUAAAAACACUGGUGGAUGGGCUUAUGGCGCAUUAGUUAGUUGGUGAGGUAACGGCCCACCAAGACGAUGAUGCGUAGCCGGCCUGAGAGGGUGAACGGCCACAUUGGGACUGAGACACGGCCCAGACUCCUACGGGAGGCAGCAGUAGGGAAUUUUCGGCAAUGGGGGAAACCCUGACCGAGCAACGCCGCGUGAGUGAUGACGGCCUUCGGGUUGUAAAGCUCUGUUGUAAGGGAAGAACGGUAGAUAGAGAAUAUCUAAGUGACGGUACCUUACCAGAAAGCCACGGCUAACUACGUGCCAGCAGCCGCGGUAAUACGUAGGUGGCGAGCGUUAUCCGGAAUUAUUGGGCGUAAAGGGUGCGUAGGCGGCCUGUUAAGUAAGUGGUUAAAUUGUUGGGCUCAACCCAAUCCAGCCACUUAAACUGGCAGGCUAGAGUAUUGGAGAGGCAAGUGGAAUUCCAUGUGUAGCGGUAAAAUGCGUAGAUAUAUGGAGGAACACCAGUGGCGAAGGCGGCUUGCUAGCCAAAGACUGACGCUCAUGCACGAAAGCGUGGGGAGCAAAUAGGAUUAGAUACCCUAGUAGUCCACGCCGUAAACGAUGAAUACUAAGUAUUGGGGAAACUCAGUGCUGCAGCUAACGCAAUAAGUAUUCCGCCUGUGGAGUAUGCACGCAAGUGUGAAACAUAAAGGAAUUGACGGGGGCCCGCACAAGCGGUGGAGUAUGUGGUUUAAUUCGACGCAACGCGAAGAACCUUACCAGGCCUUGACAUCCCUUGCAAAGCUGUAGAGAUACAGUAGAGGUUAUCAAGGAGACAGGUGGUGCAUGGUUGUCGUCAGCUCGUGUCGUGAGAUGUUGGGUUAAGU